UACGUAGGGUGCGAGCGUUGUCCGGAAUUAUUGGGCGUAAAGGGCUCGUAGGCGGUCUGUCACGUCGGGAGUGAAAACACGGGGCUUAACCCCGUGCCUGCUUCCGAUACGGGCAGACUAGAGGUAUGCAGGGGAGAACGGAAUUCCUGGUGUAGCGGUGAAAUGCGCAGAUAUCAGGAGGAACACCAAUAGCGAAGGCAGCUCGCUGGGACGGUACUGACGCUAAGGCGCGAAAGCGUGGGGAGCGAACAGG
rnacentral:rRNA from 1 species